GGGCCUUUAGCUUAGUCUGGUGAGAGCCCUCGGCUCAUAACCGAGUGGUCACUGGUUCAAAUCCGGUAAGGCCCA
rnacentral:tRNA from 1 species